UCGGGGAUAGUUUAACCGGCAAAACAUCUGACUCUGGAUCAGAAAUUUGGGGUUCGAAUCCCUGUCCCCGAGCCU
rnacentral:tRNA from 2 species